UGAAAAAUGCCUGCUGCUCACAUUGGACAAACCUCAUGGUGAUUUCCUCAGUGUUAUCUACUACUUUUCCAACGAUUUUGGUUAAGAUAUUUAAAUCUUCAAGUAAGAGAACUACACAGCAUAACAGCCUUCUAACAGAUUGACUCGUUAUAUGUAAAAACCAAAACCUGUGCCUCUGUUUGGGUAGUUUAACAGAUAGCCAGCACCUGUGGCACCCCUGUGAAAGCAUAUUUAGGAGAGGGCAGAAAGCUCCAGAGAGAGAACAUGGAAGGAGAAGAAGGUAUGCUGUGGAGAAGCUGUUAUUCUGCUACAGGGCCUGUAGCCUGGUAGGGCUUGCUCUGGUAGGCAGGAAAAGAGGAGGAGCAGGAGAUAAGCAGUGUGUGGAUUACAGUCUCCUGUACCCCAGUCUCAGCAGCGUGACCUGGGUGACAGCACGGGGGCAGGGCUGCACUCAGGAGUGCAGAUCACGGCCAGUGCUUGAAGCUCAGCCCUCCAAAGAAGGAGGACUAUCUUUCCCAUGCGUUUAGUGAAAGCUGUUUUGCCCGCGACGGUAACCGGCAGCGACCUCCCUCCGUUCUGACCCGCCGCUUCUCCCCUCACCCCGCAGGGAGGGGCAGCAGCUGUGCGCCUAUCGCCCAGGCAAGCUGAAAAAACCACUGAAAAUUCUUAAAGAAUGAAUGUAAGCGGGAACUAAUGACAGAUUUUGCAGACGCUAAAGGGCAGAUGUCGUGAAGCCUGACGGGAGUCACCACGAGGACGACGUAUCGGACUUCCCAUGUGCGGUGUACUGACCUUAGCAAGUUGGGAAGACGUGCCCACAAAUGAUAGAUCAUUAGGAAAUUCUCUGAAUAGCAAACAUCUGAAGUCAGUCCAAGUUCUAUUUGCUAUACAUCGUGAUAAAACUGGAAAGUCAAAGGAGGCACAAAUUAUAUGCUUAGUCUGUAAUUUAUCAGUUGCUGAAGCUGUUGUUUCCCCCAAACCCAACCUCUUUUGCAACAUAAUUCAACAAGAUUGCCGAAGCUCACUAAACUGAGUAGGGCUGACAAAUUUUUGACAAUUAAUUCUCUUCAGUGUAAGAUCCUUCUGCCACAACAAAAACAGGCAUUUCUUUUUGCCAUAACAUAGCAUCAUUGUAAUGUUGGUCUAUAAGCUUGUUUUGAAAUUAUAUUUUGGAAACUCAUCCCAUUAAGAGAACAAAAUGCAGCUGCAGCAACUGUAGGACUUUUGUCUACAAUCAGUCCUUUGUUAAUGAUUUGUUUCUGUUAAUGCAAUACUGUAUAUAAUCUGUCCAUGAUUUUAGCCAACAGAAAAAGCAGGUGAUCUUGUUUCCCACCAGGUCUUGUGGAAAAAAAAAAGAGGAUGUUUAAUGCAGUGAGAUAAAGAAUAGAUGACUGUAAAUUCUAAUGAAUAUUCAUUGAGUUAAGAUACUAUACCACGUGUCAAGAAAUAAUGUGACUUGCUAUGAUUUAACAUAUCUCAAAGAACUUCCAGUGUAACCAGUUGUUAAUAUUUAAUUUUAAUGCUUUCUUAAAGCGUUGACUUUUUGCAGUGAAUGUUUCUGAACUCAUUGGGAGUGAGAUGAUUUCUUUACAGUGAUACAUGAUACCUCAAAAGCAUUGCAAUGAUAAGAGGGAUAUUUUUCAUAUAAUCUUUAAUUUUUUUCAGCUGCUGAAGAGUCGUGCUUUCUUUUACAAUAAUGCUGAAUUGCUGCUAGAAGGUGGAAAAAACCCUCUAUCUUCAAUAUUAGAUGUUCUAACAGGAUGGAAAAAAUUGUAUUUGUUAAUUUUUUAGAAGUGCUUUUUUCUCCCCACAGAUAACCAUCCAGCAAUUUCAAAAAAUUGUAUAUAAAAGUAUAAGAAUAAGUGGGUAAAACAAUUAGUGGUAACUUGGAGUAUUUUAGUAUUAGUUAAAGAUAUUUAAUUCUUCCCUGGAUACUCUAAUACUUAUAGGGCAAAAAAUAAUAGUUUUCAAAGUGACAGUUUAAAUGAGAUUCAUGUCUGCAUUAAAACAACUUUGUUUUGGUGCCCAACGUAAAAUGUGUUUUAGCUACUGUUGGAGAAAAUACAUCUAUUAUGCUUUGAAGCUUAAAGAACAACUCAGCUCAACUUCAGUUAAAUGUCUAAGCUACAUCUAGGAAGUUCAUUAAUUGCAAGAAAUAUCCUUGGAUGCUAAUUCAUUUCUGCUUUUAAUGGUUCUUAUCGUACUUUUGGCCAGGGUUAACUUGCAUCUAAAAAAAUUAGUAAUUAGAUAAUAUUCCGGAGUUUGCUCUACUAAACGAAAAAAUCUGUCUUUUUUUUUGCAUUUAUAUGGUAGGCCUCUUAUGAUAGGAUUUCAAUUCCUCAUUACCACAGCAGCUUUUCUCUUCACUAGUCUACUACUAUUGGUCUAAAUUAAUCUUGUAUAUGGGAGAUCAGUAGGAUUUGAGACGAGGUUUCACCAUGUCCAGUUCUACUGAAUCAGCAGCACCUUGUCUCUAAGACAAAUGUUAUUUUAGCAAUAUUCUUAGAUAUGAGAGGGGAAAAAAAGGAAAGAUGUUCUAUUCCAAAAGGUCAGAUCGCAUAACGUAAUUCAAAAUAUACUACUGGAGGAUACUGCUUGCUACUCAACAACUCAAAUAAAUGAAGUCCAAGCAUUGUAAUGGACAGAAUGUUAAAUGUGUUAGGGACAGUGAUAACAUCUGUAAUAAUAGACAUUUUAGUGGUCUGCAUGCUCUGCCAUUGGAUCCAUAUGUAGAUACCCACAUAUGAGACAUUAAAAAUGCAAAAUUUACUUUAAAAUUUAGUGAAAGUUUUGAUUAGUGCUGGAAAACUGUCAUGUGGAGUGAAUAUAAAUAUGCACCUAGUUUAAGUGCCUAAGUAAAGAAAUAGAAUUCUGUAAUUGACAUUGCUUUCCUUUAAAUACCUAUUAUCCAUGACUGCAGGUAUGACCAUGACUCAGUAGGUAACAGAGCCAAUGAAAGUUCUUUUCUCAAAAUGGCUUUCUGAAUUCCUAAGUGUGAGCUAAUAAGCCAAGCAGUGAAUUAAACAAUCACUCAGUGUCAGAAAAACAACUUUGUAUUUUCCUGUAAUAGUUAUAUUUCCUCAUUUCAAUUUUUGAUUAAAUUGGUAUUACAAAGGGUACAGUCUAGUCCUUUAGUGGCAGUAAUUAGAAGAACAUACAUUACAUUUAUUUCUUUGAGAGCUGAUUUUUAGAUAUCAGUUUUGAUACUUAUUGGCCAUGAGCAUUCAUGCAUGAUUCACUAGAAAAUUGUCUACAUCUGAAGCAAUUACACAGGUACUUUGUUGUAGGAAGCUGUUAACUGAGUCCCUCUUCAUGUUCAGAGAGCUGGGGUGGAAAAGAAAACAAAAGUUUAUUUUCUCAAUGAGGAGGAACUUGCUCAACUUCUUGUCUGUGUUAGACUUCAAAGGUACUCUAGUUGAGGCUAUAUUUUCCUUGGCCUAUGCUUUAUAUAAAGGAGAAGAUGGUUAUAAACAUGCCCAUCUUCCUCUGUUCUGUCUAAAGAAACAUGCUGUUUGGCAUUAGAUGUUAGCAUAAAUAAAAAUCUGAGACACUUAGGCACUUUUUUCUUUUUACACUUUGGCAUAGAAGAUCAAAGAUCAAGAACUUUAGAUUAAAUUCACGAAUCUGCUUCUGGUCCCACCUAAAACCAUGAAGAGUUACUUUCCUUCACAGUGGUGGGUUAACUGGAGAAAUAAGCAUUCCGAUAAUCUGCUGUUCUGCCUUCACAGUUUUGGACUGCUAUGGUUUUAUAUGUAGUACUUGUACAAAGUGUUCUUGGAUCACGUUUAUUUUCAUCUGAGGUUGUUUCAGCAUGCAGGGAUCAAUCUGGAAGAUGCUGCUGCUGGCAAAAUUGGGUAAGUGGUCCAUAUACAGCCAAAGAACAUCAGUUCCCAUUGAUGUCUUUGGUGAUAAGCACUGUUCAUGUACUAGAAAUUACAAGAGAAGUAUUUUAUGGCCACAGAGCAAAAGUGAAUUGGUUUGGAAUGUGAGACAGAUUUUUUAAAUAAUUAGUAAAUACAAAAUGCACUGUUGGUGUUGUUUCUCAAUUAGUCUCAUUGUUCAAAUUAGAUUAAUUUGCUGUACAAAACUCACUUAUGCUCCAGGUUCUGAUGCUAACAAAAACACUUCCUGUAAAACAUAAAUUCAUUACUGAACAAAUGAAUGAAGAACAGAAUUGAAAUGAUUUCACAAAUUGAAAUUGUGCCUGAAUGCCAUAAUUACUCAAACCGGUGCUGUCAAAUGGUUUAAUGAAGCUUUUGUGGCAGUGAAGAUCUUAAUUCUGCAUCUGUAUUAUGUCAAAUGCAAAAAAAAGAUUCCUUCCACCACUGGAAUUACAAUUUACGUGCUGUUGGAAGAGAAGGUAUUUCCACCCUUCAGUGGUUGUAGCACAUACGGCAAAGAAUAGGGAAGUUUUAAAGAAAAAAAUCAAAGCUUAUAAGUACAAAAAGACCAUUAAUUGGAGUGAGUUGGUUAUAUUCAUGCAAGGAAUACAUAUCUUGUGUACCUAAGAAAGUAAUUAUGUAUCUUUGUUACUGAAGGGUGUAUUCAACAAAACAAAUCUCUCAUUUUCUGCACUACUUGCUUAAGACUGGAAAAACUGCUGUAUUAUCAGCUGUUUUCACUGUGAUGUGAUUGCUACUGUAGUACAUGAUAUGUACCUGAAGAACUUGAUGACUGACUUCAGAAAAAUUGAGCAAUAGUUUAAAAAAGAUUGUCGUCUUGACUGUGAAGGUCUGCACAGAUCAUAGGAUCAUAGCAUCCACACAAAAGCAAUAUACAAACUAAAUUGGGUUCAAUCCUGCCAGGCCUUUGUUGUCAUUUAGUAAAACAGGACUAAAGCAGAGAACUUAAUUUCUCAGUUUAAGGUCUAGAAAAGUGUUUGCAUACAAUGAAGCUACUUUUGUGGUCUUAAUGGAAAUAUUAAUAUACAUUAUAAAGAAAAAUGUAUGUUACUACUGUGUUUUCUGUGAUUUCUUGUGCUUGUUAAUGUUACAGUUUCAAGUAUUGCCAUGUAUUAUGAUAUUUUGUGUGACACCACACGAAAAUCUUGUUUUAUACAGAUUUUUACAAUCCCUUGGGCCAAAUGAACUUUGCAACAAAAGGGCAGAAAUGCCUCACCAUCAGGGGUGCAGGCCCUUAACAUCCAAGCCUGGCAGGAAGAUGAAGCAAGAAUUGAAAUUGUUAUAAUGAAACAAGGGCAAUAGUGUGAGACACAAAGAUGUCAUGGUUAUCUCUAGAUCUGUCUGUCUGUGAUGGGGAACAGCAGGCCUAACAGCCCAAAAAAGGAGAGGGGAGAGGAAGGGAACAAAAACAGUAAGAAAAAAAAACAAGUGGGCAGCAAUGAUCUCAGGAGGGAAAUGAAUUUACUAAUUAUAAUAGCAGAAAUGCAAGUUAAUUAGUAUUGAUGCUAUUAAAUAAAAUGAGAGAGUUUCUGAUAACUGAAGUUUUUACUCUGAUCCACCAGGGAGCAAACAGUCUUGUGACUUUCAGUCAGUCUUAUCUUUCUCUUGGACUGGAAAAGGGAAACAGAAUAGCAGAGUCUUCUGGGAGCUGUAGGACAUUUCUUCUCUUCUGAGACUCCCAGUGUGCUAUGUGAUAUAAUGAUGUGGAGCAAUGAUAACAAAAAUCAUAAAAUUGCAAUAAAGGAGCAUCCUCAAACAUUCCAAGACUAGAUGAGAUCCCAUGGCUUGCUAUUAAAUAAAUUACCAAACUAUGGAGUUGCUGUAAUUUGUAUGAGGAGCACAGCAAAGAUCACACGAAGAACCCGUGUUGGUAGUUGGGUUUUUUUUUUUUUUAACAGCUUGAUCCAGUUUGUCUCAUCUGUCCCAAGGGAAAAUGCUAGAGCAUCAGCAAGUGACAAAAGGGCAGCUGAGCUGCAGCUUGAUCUUAGAGCUUCUGAAGGGAGGAGGUGACAGCCAUACUAACAGUUGAGCCAAGAGCCACUAGUAGUGAGAUCAGAAAUGGGCUCAGAAAUGAAGGCAGAGCAGCAAGGGUUUCUGCACCAGCAGCUGUUAAAUGACAGCAGAAGCAGACAUGGGGGAUUGCCAUUUAUUUCAAACUAGGCUUAGCUUUAUAAUAAUGCUCGACAACAACUGCUCUGACUUAAGGUAGCAUGGUAAAAAGGGGAUGAAAUAACCCCAGGUGCCCUACUUGGUCUACCACACUUUUGGGCUUGGAUGGAAGCAGAUAUAAAAGGGAAUUGAGAGGAUUGCUUUUCCUGGCUUCUCCAGAAGUUCAGCAACUUCCACAACUCUUUUUUUAGGGCCUUGUAGCUUAUAUGGAAAGUUAUCUAAUCAUUUAAUAUAUUCAUCUAUAUUUCUUAAUUAUAUAGUACCAUGUGAGCUUUGAUAACUUGCCUCAAACUUACCUUAGGCUUCCUUUCUUUAUGGGCCAUGUAAUUAUCCCUACGAGGACAAAAAGGAAAAAAAAAACAUUUUAGCCUUCUUCAUCUUAAAUGUGCUACAGCAAACUUCUGCCACAAAAGUCCUAGAGCUGAAACAACCCCAAAGCUGUGAGGAACAUUUUACAGUGUGUAUUUACAACUGAAGGGCUAUUAACCUGUCUUUAAUGUGAUUGUUUGCCUAAUUUGUGACCAAAACGAAUGGUCCAAGUGAGUUCAGAGUUUGCAGCAUGCCCUUAACCUCCUGUAUUAUUAAUACUAGGCAGGCAUCCAGAAAUAGUAAUGGAGAUACAGGGCUUCUUCAGCGCUGAAAGGGUUGCAGUCCUGGUAAUACAUUCUCAACUGCUUAUUCCCUAUUGCACAAAAUCAACCUAAUUACCUAAUAAGUCAUUUUUCACACAUUAGUUUUUAAAAUUUGGAGUCAUUUGUCAGCAAAGCUCUCCUAGAUAGACCUACAUGCCCUUUAUUGAUUUUGGGUGGAGGAAAAAUACAUGUAAAUACAAGACAACGUAAUUUCAGACAUAAAUCAAUUACAUUUUUAUCAUUUGAGCGUUAUGGCUGUCUACUAAUCCAAAGUCUUUAAAAUGCUUUCUUACACUUCAAGAAAAGGUUAUAAUUUGCAUAAACAUUAAAUAUUGUGGUUUUCAUUUUGUUGAACAAUUGAGAAAUCCAUUAUUUGCUGAAAAGCACAGAUCGCCCAUGAUUUCCAUCAGGCAGCAAGAUCUUUGUUAAUUUUUGGAUGCAUUUUCCUGGACUCGUGUUUUAGUGGUAUUCUACUUAUCAGUACAAAUUCUACUUAUUCAGUACACCCUAGUGCCAUAGUAGCUUCCCUAUUGCUAUUAAAAUUACCUUAAAAAUGUUGAAACCAGUUCUGCACACCUACUACCAAUCCUGCAUUGCCCAUUUUGUUUCUGUGAUGUGUGUUCUGCACUUUAACACUGCCUCUAACCGCUCAAGGUAGAAAAAUGAAUAAUGCAAAUUUCUUGCAAGGAAAAAGGUAACAGUUUCCUGGGGCAGUGAAGAAUAGGCCCUUGAGGGAGAUUUCUAAUACAGUUUUUGAAUUAAAUGGCUCGUUGGUUGUCAGCAUUCUUCUGCAUUUUGGUUUCUUGGUAGGGUGAAUUACUGGGAAACUAUUUGACCUCUUCACCUGUCUGUGCGCUCUGUGCAAAAUAUGCUUAAAUGGUUACAGCAAGAACAAGAGACUGAAUGAGCAUCACUUGAAGGAAAGCAAAAGUUGCAUUUUUAUCUCUAAUUUUUCUCUGGCAGCUGAGCACUGGAAUAAGCCUUUGAAAAUGGUGGCUUUGAGCAAAAUGUCUGAUUAGGGCUUUUAAUAAUAUGAAUCAAAAAUAAUAUUAAAUGAGUGGUGAAAAGUCUCAAUGUGAAAAAGGGGCAAUGUUUAUUAUAACACUUCAAACGGAUAUAAAAUCCCUGAUCCAUUACACACUACAGCAGAUGCCAACAAAGGGCACUAUCUACGCUGUGUUUUACCUUUGAAAACUAAGGGCCAGACACUGCCAAGGUCUGAAGUACUUCAGUAUUACUGCCUGGAUAAACGGGCUAUACAUGGGAUUGUCUGGAAUAAAUCAUGUCAGAAGGCUCUGAAUUCCUCCCACAACACUGCCACAGGCCUCAUGGUGGUUUAGUGGCGCAUGCCUGAAUGCUUCAAAUGACACUCACAUGACAUAAGGCACUCUACU